rnacentral:rRNA from 1 species
UACGUAGGGUGCGAGCGUUGUCCGGAAUUACUGGGCGUAAAGAGCUCGUAGGUGGUUUGUCGCGUUGUUCGUGAAAACCGGGGGCUUAACCCUCGGCGUGCGGGCGAUACGGGCAGACUUGAGUACUGCAGGGGAGACUGGAAUUCCUGGUGUAGCGGUGGAAUGCGCAGAUAUCGAGAGGAACACCUGCGGCGAAGGCGGGUUGCUGGGCUGACACUGACGCUGAUGCGCGAAAGCCAGGGGAGCGAACGGG